AAACCAACAAGAACUGCUAACUCUCGCAUCUGAGUCUAAAACCUCAGU
rnacentral:tRNA from 2 species